ACGCUAUCACUCCUACGGGAGGCAGCAGUGAGGAAUAUUGGUCAAUGGAGGGAACUCUGAACCAGCCAUCCCGCGUGUAGGAAGACGGCCUUAUGGGUUGUAAACUACUUUUAUACAGGAAGAAACGUACCCUCGUGAGGGUGCCUGACGGUACUGUAGGAAUAAGCACCGGCUAACUCCGUGCCAGCAGCCGCGGUAAUACGGAGGGUGCGAGCGUAUCCGGAUUUAUUGGGCGUAAAGCGCAUGCAGGUGGUUUGUUAAGUCAGAUGUGAAAGCCCGGGGCUCAACCUCGGAAUUGCAUUUGAAACUGGCAGACUAGAGUACUGUAGAGGGGGGUAGAAUUUCAGGUGUAGCGGUGAAAUGCGUAGAGAUCUGAAGGAAUACCGGUGGCGAAGGCGGCCCCCUGGACAGAUACUGACACUCAGAUGCGAAAGCGUGGGGAGCAAACAGGAUUAGAUACCCUGGUAG
rnacentral:rRNA from 1 species